GGGAGAAUCCUGAUUCGAAAGGGGUUGGAUUCAAGUCCGUCCGGUUGCAUAACAGGCUGCCUGUGCCCGCCAGAUGGUGCUGGUCGCCCGCGGCGAUUCAUUUCGCUUGCGGUGUCGUUCCGGCGAUCACUCGGUGGGUUGGCGUGAACUCUGGCAAUGGAGGAGUGCACUUCCCCCCUAGUAGAAACGUCGCGACCCGUUGGGUGCCGGUCUAAGGCCCGGGAUGGUAGACCAUGUGUCCUGAGGGUGCUCCCACAGGCGCGUGGACGCCUGGUGUCCCGGCUGGCUGCCCGACGGUAUGACCAGAGGAGUCGAUCCGCUGAAUGAGAAACACUGUGGUUGUGUAGCGUCCGGCCUGGUGUCGAUGUGUGCGGGGAUUGAGGUGUAAACCGGGGGUGUCCGUGCGAAGCACGGCCCCGGCCCUGCUGCGCAUUCGAUGCUGGUGUCCUCGGACUGGAUCAGCACUCCCGUCUGCGACGCCCACCUUCGGAUGGUCUCCCG
rnacentral:rRNA from 1 species